rnacentral:tRNA from 1 species
CUGGCGGACUUCAAACCUGAGGGGGUAGAUACCGAGGGGUU